rnacentral:lncRNA from 1 species
AGAAAAUGCUCAUGAUAGAUUGUUCAAUGAUUAUUUCUCAGAAACCCCGGUUUAUAAUGAUGCUAUGUUUCGGAGAAGGUAUCGUAUGUCUCGUUCUCUAUUCCUCUGUAUUAUUAAUGCAGUUGAAGCUCAUGACAAGUACUUCACACAAAGAAGGGAUACAACUGGUAGACUUGGAUUAACAUCUCUUCAGAAAGGAACAGCCGUGUUUCGGAUGCUAGCGUAUGGUUUACCAGCAGAUGUCACAGAUGAGUACGUUAAGAUAGGUGAAUCAACGGCAAUUGAAAGUUUGAAAAGAUUUUGUCGAGCCAUAGUGGAUAUAUUUUCGCAACAAUACUUACGAUCACCAACAACUAAUGAUGUUGCAAGGCUUGUUUACAUUGAUGAAAAACGGGGUUUUCCAGGGAUGUUAGGUAGCUUGGAUUACAUGCAUUGGAAGUGGAAAAAUUGUCCUACCGGUUGGGCUGGACAAUUUGCGGGUCGUAGUGGAUCACCAACGAUAAUUCUUGAAGUUGUGGCAGAUUAUGAUCUUUGGAUGUGGCAUGCUUAUUUCGGAAUGCCAGGCACCAUUAAUGACAUCAACGUAUUGGAGACUUCUCACCUUUUCUCCAAUCUUGCUCAAGGUAUAGCUCCUCCUGCUAAUUAUGUCAUUCAAGGAAAAGAAUAUGAUAUGGGUUAUUACUUGGCUGAUGGCAUAUAUCCAAAAUGGUCUACCAUAGUGCAAACUAUUCACGAGCCAAGGGGUCCUAAAAAAAAAAAAUUUGCUACGCAACAAGAAGCAUGUAGGAAAGAUGUGGAAUGUGCUUUUGGAGUUCUCCAAUCGCGUUUCGCAAUUGUGAAAGGACCGGUUCGGUUUUGGGAAAAAAAAUGUGAUACAUGAUAUAAUGACUACAUGUAUAAUCUUACAUAACAUGAUAAUCGAAGAUGAACGUGAUCUUGAUGCGCCAAUUGAAGUUGGAAGAGAAGCUUCACCUCCAGAGGUCGAGAUGGCGGGGGAUGAGAAUACCCGAUUUCAAGAAUUUCUUGCUUGAUAUAAACAAAUCAAAGACAAAGAAGCUCAUUUCUCACUUCGAAAUGCAUUAGUCGAUCAUUUGUGGGAGAAUUACGCUAAUGAUGAAUCUUAAAUAAAAAUGUAUUAAUCUUUCGAUUUUCUAUUUAUGUGUUGUAAUAAAAUUUUAUUUUUAA